rnacentral:rRNA from 1 species
GAAAAGAACUUUGAAGAGAGAGUUCAAGAGUACGUGAAACCGUUCAGGGGUAAACCUGAGAAACCCAAAAGAUCGAAUGGGGAGAUUCAUCGACGACGAAGCUGGCUCCCGUUGGCGUGCGAUUCCCCCGUUGGGACCUCGGUUCCAGAACGCGGGGUACACCCCUUCGGCGAAUAACCGGCGACGUAGUCGUGCACUUCUCCCUUAGUAGAACGUCGCGACCCGUUGUGUGUCGGUCUACGGCCCGGGCUAAUUGCCUGUCGCGGUGGCAUUCGUUCGCUCGCGGCAGAGGCUCGGUCGCCCGGCCGGCUGCACGACGGUACUCCGACGGUAUCGGGCCGCAACCAAUCCAUUCUCGAAUGGUAUAUGCGUCCAGGCCCGUCGCAAGCUCGGACAGCACCCGGAGCGUGUGGACGCAGCGCCCUCCCCGGGUCUGGCCAGCUGUUAGCAGACGGUGUCCUCGGACCGGCCAAGCUUCGAAUUACCGGUCAGCGACGCUAUUGCUUUGGGUACUCUCAGGACCCGUCUUGAAACACGGACCAAGGAGUCUAACAUGUGCGCGAGUCAUUGGGACAUUGAAACCUAAAGGCGAAAUGAAAGUGAAAGUCGUCGUAAGCGUCGACCAAGGGAGGAUGGGCCGCGUCACGUCGCGGCCUCGCACUCCCGGGGCGUCUCGUUCUCGUUGAGAAGAGGCGCACCCAGAG